CAGUCGCCACGGUAAUACGUAGGUGGCAAGCGUUGUCCGGAAUUAUUGGGCGUAAAGGGCUCGCAGGCGGUUUCUUAAGUCUGAUGUGAAAGCCCCCGGCUCAACCGGGGAGGGUCAUUGGAAACUGGGAAACUUGAGUGCAGAAGAGGAGGGUGGAAUUCCACGUGUAGCGGUGAAAUGCGUAGAGAUGUGGAGGAACACCAGUGGCGAAGGCGACUCUCUGGUCUGUAACUGACGCUGAGGAGCGAAAGCGUGGGGAGCGAACAGGAUUAGAGACCCCCGUAGUCCCUGUCUCUUAUAC
rnacentral:rRNA from 1 species